rnacentral:sRNA from 1 species
CAAUAAACGACUAACUUACCGCAGACAGCAGGGGCAAAACGCUUAAUGUCCUGCCGAGGCUAAACAAGUUUAAAACUAAACAAUCAGGAUAAGGUUACAGACCUAAUUUAUUCAGUCUGUCUUUAGAGUUAAUGUUUGAGUUUUAAGUCUUAACCUCGGUGAAAAAACCGGGGUUUUUUAUGGCGAAA